GCAGAGAACCGCAUGCGUCCCGAUACCUGCGCAACCCGAUACCAAACUCAUUUCCAGUUCCAAUUCUACUCCGAGCAUCCGAGGAAAGGCAGCCGAGAGCGCAUUUAAGAAAACACACGAAGGAGGAUAAUCAGUCUGGCCGCGUUCAAGCUCUAGACUCCCUGGCCAGCCAGUGUAGUGAACAGACAUCCAUCAAGAGGGCUUUCUCCGUAACGGGCGAAGAUAGAAUUAUAUUUUAUUUUGUUAUUUUUAAUUUUGAUUUGUAUAUAAAAAUCCUGAAUAUAUAUGACUGACCAGACAA